GAUGAAGAACGUAGCGAAAUGCGAUAAGUAAUGUGAAUUGCAGAAUUCAGUGAAUCAUCGAAUCUUUGAACGCACAUUGCGCCCGCCAGUAUUCUGGCGGGCAUGCCUGUCCGAGCGUCAUUUCAACCCUCGAACCCCUCCGGGGGGUCGGCGUUGGGGAUCGGCCCUUUACGGGGCCGGCCCCGAAAUACAGUGGCGGUCUCGCCGCAGCCUCUCCUGCGCAGUAGUUUGCACACUCGCAUCGGGAGCGCGGCGCGUCCACAGCCGUUAAACACCCCAAACUUCUGAAAUGUUGACCUCGGAUCAGGUGGGAAUACCCGCUGAACUUAAGCAUAUCAAUAAGCGGAGGA
rnacentral:misc_RNA from 1 species